UCAAGAAUAAAAAAUUUUUAAAAAGACCCAAAAAAGCUAUUUCUUUAUUAACAGAACAAAGGAUCUCAAAAGAAACUGUAGAUGAACUCCAAGAGCAACUGUCUGGGCUAAAAGAGAGAUUGAGACAAAAAGAGGAAGGGAAACUUUGAAAGAGAUUACAAAUUGUCAUCCAUUCAGAUUGUGUUAGAUACAGAUGUUCCUGGGAUGAAAAGAACAUUAAGCUACCUCAUGUCCAUGGCUGGUGAGAUCUCAGAAAAUAUAGGAGCAGCAGGCACCUCAUAAAACAAAAGUUGCUGCAGCCUGGGAUACAAUGUCAGUCAAUUCUAUGAGCAAGAGUUGUGAUGAAACUGAGUGACUGCACAGGUGACACACCCAUGAAGCCAGCUUGCCUGGGAUAGGGCACAAGAUGAUGCCAUCCAAAUUUCUCACUUCAUAGUUGCUAAAGAGGAAAAUGAGGAUCUACAAGAACUUACUACAUAGUCUUAGAUCAUUCAAUACAGAAGAUUAUAACUUUCUAUAAAGAACUCAUUUUAAGUGCCCACUGGGCAGCUGGGAGCCCUUCCUGGUGCAGUGUCCCUCCAGUGCGUGGUCUUCAGAAAGUUGAUCAUGGUGCUCACUGUGAAGAAGAGAUGCUUAAAGGGAUGCUGUCCAUUGUUUGGAAGGUGAGCUUGGAACUGAUUGGCAUCACACUGAAAACUGGAAUGUAUAGUCACCUCAGGAACCCUAGGAAGUUAGUAGCGUGUUGUCCCUUUGUGUUGUCCCCUUUUUUUUUAAUGCACGAAUUCAGUUUGUUUUAAAAAGGUAUUUUAAAUCUGUGAGUAAAGAAUGACCCAUUCAACAGAUGGUACAGAGACAAAUGACUACCCCUUUAGGAAAAAAAAGUUGCCUCCCAUAAAAAAUAAAUUUCAGACAAGUUAGAUAUACA
rnacentral:lncRNA from 1 species